rnacentral:sRNA from 1 species
UGGGGAUGGGUUGUUCCUGCAGUGCUGUGAGGAAGUUGCUGAACUGUACCCCAAAAUCAAAUUUGAGACAAUGAUCAUAGACAACUGCUGCAUGCAGCUGGUGCAGAAUCCUUACCAGUUUGAUGUGCUUGUGAUGCCCAAUCUCUAUGGGAACAUUAUUGACAAUCUGGCUGCUGGCCUGGUUGGGGGAGCUGGUGUGGUCCCUGGUGAGAGCUAUAGUGCAGAAUACGCAGUCUUUGAGACGGUGAGUGAGGCUGCUUUCUCCCUCGGCCCUUCCUCUGACCUCAAGUCCGCCAUUCCUCUCCCAUCCCAAUAUCUCCACUUCCUAAGUGAUCUUGGCCUGUUCUUCCCCCACGCUGCCCACCAUGCCUCUUUUCAGUGACCCUGGCCUGAGCUCCCCCUCCCAUAAUGUCCUUUUCCAACCUAAGCCUCUGCAUACCCCUCCUGCCUCCUCCCAGUGUCUAGCCUGCCCCUCUCUCCACAGGGUGCCCGGCACCCAUUUGCCCAGGCAGUGGGCAGGAAUAUAGCCAAUCCCACGGCCAUGCUGCUGUCGGCUUCCAACAUGCUGCGGCAUCUUAAUCUUGAGUAUCACUCCAGCAUGAUUGCAGAUGCGGUGAAGAAGGUGAUCAAAGUUGGCAAGGUGCGGACUCGAGACAUGGGCGGCUACAGCACCACAACCGACUUCAUCAAGUCUGUCAUCGGUCACCUGCAGACUAAAGGGAGCUAGAGCCCUUUAUUUCUUCCAACCUUGCAAGGACCACACUCCCCAUACCCUUCAGUGCAGUGUACCAGGGAAGAGACCUUGUGCCUCUAAGCAGUGGACCAUGGUCACCUUGCUGGGUUCGAACCUCUGACAUGGGUGGCUAUGCUACUUGCCAUGACUUCACUGAGGCUGUCAUUGCUGCCUUGCCCCACCCAUAGGCCCUGUCCAUACCCAUGUAAGGUGUUCAAUAAAGAACAUGAACCAA